GUCAUCUUGCUCCUGAACCGUUGGGUCUUGGCAGCCAUGGAUUGUGCGAUGGCGUUGCUCUCCAUGAGCAGGUCCAGGGCCUUGGAGGCACAGCCCACCACGGCGGGGGGCAGGCUGUUGGAGAAGAGGUAGGGGCGGGAGCGCUGGCGGAGCAAAUCGAUGAGGGGUUUGGGGCCUGUUGUGUACCCGCCUGCAGCUCCUCCAAGAGCUUUUCCCAGGGUAGAGUUGAUGAUGGUGACCUUGUCCAUCACUCCCAAGAGCUCAUCG
rnacentral:lncRNA from 1 species